rnacentral:rRNA from 1 species
CGCGUAGGCGGUUCGGUUAGUUAGGCGUGAAAUUCCUGGGCUUAACCUGGGGACUGCGCUUAAUACAGCCGGGCUUGAGUUCGGAAGAGGGUAGUGGAAUUCCCAGUGUAGAGGUGAAAUUCGUAGAUAUUGGGAAGAACACCGGUGGCGAAGGCGGCUACCUGGUCCGAUACUGACGCUGAGGCGCGAAAGCGUGGGGAGCAAACAGGAUUAGAUACCCUGGUAGUCCACGCUGUAAACGAUGUGUGCUGGAUGUUGGGCGACCUAGUCGCUCAGUGUCGUAGCUAACGCGAUAAGCACACCGACCUGGGGAGUACGGCCGCAAGGUUGAA